GGGGAUGGAGCAGCUGUGUGCCAAACAUUAGCAUCGGGCCUUUUAAAAAUAGAGGCUGAUGUAUUUCAGAAAUGCUUACCCUCUGAACAGGCAAGUGGAAGGCCUGGAUAUAUCUUAAAGUUUUUAUCUAACCCUUGUGGGAGUUGGGUGCAAAGAGGGAGAUGGGGAGGAGAAGGAGGAAGAGGAAGGAGGAAGUGGAAGGAGAGGAGGAAGGGGAGGGAGAGGAGGAAAAGAAGAUGAGGAAGAAGAGGAGGAGGGGGAAGAGGAGAAGGAGGGGAGGAAGAAGAGGAGGAAGAGGAAGGGGAGAAGGAUAGGGAUUGCUUUGCACAAAACGUUCCUAAGGAAAAAGAAGGUCUGUUGCUUCUGUUAUGUAGUGUGGUGGGCUGAGUGCUGUCAUUUCUACUGCUGUGUGGCUCAGGGCUGGUGUAUUCACAGGGUCCCUUCUGAAUGUGUGUGCACACGCGUGUGUGCUCGUGCUUUGGGGAGUGACCUUCUACUUGCCAGUGGCUGGCUAGGGUUGUUGCUGUAGCCAUCAGCCACUGGCCUUGUCAUUCAAAGUAGACAUGAUACUUGGAAUCUUCCCUU
rnacentral:lncRNA from 1 species